GGAAGCACCAAAUCAUGCUUUGAUGGCUAAACUUCUAGUGUUUCACUCCUUUGAACUGAAAAAUCCACUAGUCACACCACCUUUCCAGCAUGAAUUAAAAGGGAGAGAUAUAAGUGCCAGAAGAUCACCAGUUUAUCUCAGCAAACCAAUGUGGGCACAAAAUGGAUCAAAAUAAUUGUGAUAAAGAAUACAAUUCUCUUUCAUAUCAACAUAUCAACUGAUGGUUGUUAUGGAAAACCAGAGAAAGAACAAUUUUUAUAGUGAUUGUCAUUAUUUUGAAU
rnacentral:lncRNA from 1 species